UACGGAGGGUGCAAGCGUUAUCCGGAUUCACUGGGUUUAAAGGGUGUGUAGGCGGGCAUUUAAGUCAGUGGUGAAAUCUCCAGGCUCAACCCGGAAACUGCCAUUGAUACUAUUUGUCUUGAAUAUCGUUGAGGUAGGCGGAAUAUAUCAUGUAGCGGUGAAAUGCUUAGAUAUGAUAUAGAACACCGAUUGCGAAGGCAGCUUGCUAAACGAUUAUUGACGCUGAGGCACGAAAGCGUGGGGAUCAAACAGG
rnacentral:rRNA from 1 species